GGAGUACUCCCUCCGUUCGGAAUUACUUGUCGCAAAGAUGGAUGUAUCUAUGACUAAAAUACAUCUAAAUACAUUUAUUUUUUAGACGAGUAAUUCUGGACGGAGGGAGUAUUUU
rfam:Triticum aestivum genome assembly, contig: Triticum_aestivum_CS42_TGACv1_scaffold_500077_6BL